rnacentral:rRNA from 1 species
UCUAGAGAUACUGCCCGUUAACGGGAGGAAGGUGGGGAUGACGUCAAGUCCUCAUGGCCCUUAUGCCCAGGGCUACACACGUGCUACAAUGGGCGGUACAAAGGGUAGCGAUGCCGCGAGGUGAAGCCAAUCCCAAAAAGCCGUCCACAGUUCGGAUUGGAGUCUGCAACUCGACUCCAUGAAGCCGGAAUCGCUAGUAAUCGUGGAUCAGCAUGCCACGGUGAAUACGUUCCCGGGCCUU